UACGAAGGGGGCUAGCGUUGCUCGGAAUCACUGGGCGUAAAGCGCACGUAGGCGGAUCGUUAAGUCAGGGGUGAAAUCCUGGAGCUCAACUCCAGAACUGCCUUUGAUACUGGCGACCUUGAGUUCGGGAGAGGUGAGUGGAACUGCGAGUGUAGAAGUGAAAUUCGUAGAUAUUCGCAAGAACACCAGUGGCGAAGGCGGCUCACUGGCCCGAUACUGACGCUGAGGUGCGAAAGCGUGGGGAGCAAACAGG
rnacentral:rRNA from 1 species